GUGCUCAGUUUGACAGCAUAUAUGCUAAAAUUGGAACAAUACAGAGAAGAUUAGAAUGGAUGACAUGCAAAUUCAUGAAGCAUUUCAUAUUAAA
rnacentral:snRNA from 1 species